rnacentral:piRNA from 1 species
GGCCUCUGCACAUGUGAGUCUGGGCUGA